CGACGGGAGCUUGCUCCCUUAGGUCAGCGGCGGACGGGUGAGUAACACGUGGGUAACCUGCCUGUAAGACUGGGAUAACUCCGGGAAACCGGGGCUAAUACCGGAUGCUUGAUUGAACCGCAUGGUUCAAUCAUAAAAGGUGGCUUUUAGCUACCACUUGCAGAUGGACCCGCGGCGCAUUAGCUAGUUGGUGAGGUAACGGCUCACCAAGGCGACGAUGCGUAGCCGACCUGAGAGGGUGAUCGGCCACACUGGGACUGAGACACGGCCCAGACUCCUACGGGAGGCAGCAGUAGGGAAUCUUCCGCAAUGGACGAAAGUCUGACGGAGCAACGCCGCGUGAGUGAUGAAGGUUUUCGGAUCGUAAAACUCUGUUGUUAGGGAAGAACAAGUACCGUUCGAAUAGGGCGGCACCUUGACGGUACCUAACCAGAAAGCCACGGCUAACUACGUGCCAGCAGCCGCGGUAAUACGUAGGUGGCAAGCGUUGUCCGGAAUUAUUGGGCGUAAAGCGCGCGCAGGCGGUUUCUUAAGUCUGAUGUGAAAGCCCCCGGCUCAACCGGGGAGGGUCAUUGGAAACUGGGGAACUUGAGUGCA
rnacentral:rRNA from 1 species